CUCACUUUCUCUCUCUCCAGUAUGUUUCUUUAACGCAAGAAGAUGAUGAUGAAUAAAAGAUCCCUGCAUUCAGAUCUAUUCAUCAAAAUAACAUAAUCGCAAACAAUCAAACAGAGCAGAGGCACUGGCUUCAAUCAAUCGGUUCACACCAUUUUCCUCAUUAUCCUCUAAUUUAGGGUUUCAUAGUACCAAAUUUCUAUAACAUCUAUGUUCAAUUGAGUUCAAAUUGUACACAAUUGAGAAGAAUCAAAGAGUUAAAGCUCACUUUUGAUGGAUUUGAGAAGGUACCGACGGUUUUUCUUCACCGGAAUUAAUGGCGGAUUCGUCGGAAGAUGUCGUCAUCGACAACUCCGCUUCUCCCCUGCCAGGCGGAAGCAGAAACUAUUAGCAAAAACUGAGUUCGAGAUUUCAUUUACAUUUGUUUUAUUAACUUUUUAUAUCACUAGGUUAUGGAUUAAAACUAUUUGUUUUAUUAACUGUUUAUAUCACUAAGUUAUGGAUUAAAAUCAUUCAAUGAUUAUGAUAUGCUUUAUUGUUUGCAAAACUAUUUGUUUUAUUAACUGUUUAUAUCACUAGGUUAUGGAUUAAAAUCGUUCUUACGAUCCUUGAUAGCUCCAGCGAGACGCUUCGGAAGCAGAUUGGAAUCGGACGAUAAAACACGAGUAGAUGCUUCUGAUGGUCUUCAACAUCAACUCUCUGAUUCGGAUGAUUAUCAUCCCACCACUUGUAGGAUAAUAUACACAAUUAACAGAAUAACAUCUAAGUUUUAUUGUUAUCAUUGCAGCCAAAGAGCUGUAGUAGGGCUAUGAAGGCUGUUGGUGUUGUGGAAGCCAGCUGUGAAGAAAUAUUUGAGCUUGUAAUGAGCAUGGAUGGAACACGCUUUGAGUAAGCUUUCUUUUGUAAUAUAAUAUUUCUAAAUACGUAUUUUUGUUUUGGUUUAGUGACAGUUUUUUAGGACGGUUAUGCCUCUGAAACCUCAGUGAAAAUCGGUGGAGAGUCGCUUACCACUACGACUUCGUCCCAACUUAUCCAGUUGAACUUCAUAAAGCGAUUUCUCAGUGGAGGAUUUAUCAAGCACAUGCAGUUUCGACUGCUGAUAAGGCUUAUCUUUGUAAUCAGCAAUCUCGGAAUCACUGAACGCCCGUGACAUAAGAAACUGAUGCUGCAGGUGCGGGAGCUGCAGCUUUUAACGGUGUUUCGGCGUCAUGUGCGAGUUCAUUCUCGAGGUAUAGUGUUAAAGCAAGAUGAUUAGCUUUUUGCUUUGCGUUACGAUUGGAAGAACCUUUGCUUACUCCUGAAGCAUGCUGAUGUAGAUCUUUGUACUUGAAAUUUUGUUUCUUCUUCCCAGCGGACACUUAUGGAUGCCAUUCGAAUACUUAAACUUUAGUGUACAAUAUGAUUUGAUAAGUUUAUAAUAAAGUACAAAAAAUAUAUAAAAAAAGGAUAAGCGAUCAAAGUAAAUGCAACCCAUUUACUACAUACGAUUUACUGUAUUUGGAAAAAAAACUCAUAUCUUAUUUGGUGCUAUGUGCAGGGGGACCUAAAGAUGUCCGCGCUGGUCAUUAUCGGAGCAUAUUCGCUGUAGAGUUGAUUCACGCUGAAAUUGUUUAUUUAAAUUAUCUGCAUUGUCUACAUAACUGAUCUCAUACGAAUCUGUUUUACCCAGUUUAAUCACGAAUCAACUGUACUUGAACAUCGUUCAUUCGUUAAAAUAUUGUUCAUUCACUGUAUCGCAGAAUUUGUUCGAUUGCAGAAUCGGAUCUGGUAAUAUUCACUGCAGAAUCAGCAUAUAUAUGUACACUCGCUGCAGAAAAGUUUCAUUCAGUGCAAAAUUGGUCGUCCGCAGAACUGAUCUGAAAUGUCUAUUCAUUCAUAGAAAGUCACUGCAGAAUCAGUUCGCUGCUGUGCUUAUUUUGUUCGCGCAAAUUAGUUCGAAAUACUUUUGGUGUCACUGAAGAAUCGUUUUGAUUACUUAAUUCAGCUACUACAGAAUCAGCAUAGAGGAAAGAAAAACCCCAACUGAGAGGCAGAAAGAUACGGAGAUGCCAGAGGUGUGAUGGCUGCCAUGACAGAACGGAAAGCGGGACAUCUACGUCAUGUGAUUUGGGUUUGGUUUUGGGUUGAAUCAUCAUGUACGUAUAAAGCGUGAGUUCGAACGUUAUAGGUGGAAAUCAAUGAAGCAAGGAAAGUUAAAGCUAUGCGAGAAUGCGAGGUCCAACCGUACCUCGACAACCCCCCCCCCCUCAAAGACUACUACAGGUUCAUAAACAAAGUUCUUAUUGUGAAAUGGCAUUAACUGCCAACAGGUUCAUAGAUAGGGAAAACGAGCUUCGACAACGCGCUCAAAGACCACCGUUGGAUCCCUAGACAAGAUCUAAGCUUUGCAGGAGUUUCGCAUCCCCAAAAGAAGCCAAAAGCUCAGAAGCAGAGGAUUAAACCUUCUCGUCACUGAAAUCAUCCCUUCUGAAAGGUAUAUUCAGUACUGUUGAACCACAAGUCAGCCUCGCUUAUCAGAUGCUGCAGACACAUUGUUGCAGGAAAGUUAUGUUAAAAUCAAACAAGUAUUUGCCAUAAUAAACACUAUAUGUUUAAAUCAUCAUCUAUUAGAAUUUCAAUCAAAUUUUAUGUACAUUAAUAUGCCAUGAAAUGUUGACAUUUUGUAUUGGAUGUAGGAUAUGAGGCGACAGACAAAUGAAACUGGGGAAUCAACUGCUGUACC